rnacentral:rRNA from 1 species
UGAGGAAUAUUGGUCAAUGGGCGGAAGCCUGAACCAGCCAAGUAGCGUGAGGGAUGACUGCCCUAUGGGUUGUAAACCUCUUUUAUAAGGGAAUAAAAUACGGGACGUGUCCUGUUUUGCAUGUACCUUAUGAAUAAGGACCGGCUAAUUCCGUGCCAGCAGCCGCGGUAAUACGGAAGGUCCGGGCGUUAUCCGGAUUUAUUGGGUUUAAAGGGAGCGCAGGCGGACUUUUAAGUCAGCUGUUAAAUUCGGUGGCUCAACCAUCGCAUGCAGUUGAAACUGGAGGUCUUGAGUGUACACAGGGAUGCUGGAAUUCAUGGUGUAGCGGUGAAAUGCUCAGAUAUCAUGAAGAACUCCAAUCGCGAAGGCAGGCAUCCGGGGUACAACUGACGCUGAGGCUCGAAAGUGCGGGUAUCAAACAGGAUUAGAUACCCUGGUAGU